GAGUUUGAUCCUGGCUCAGGAUGAACGCUGGCGGCGUGCCUAAUACAUGCAAGUCGAACGAAGCCUUCGGGCUUAGUGGCGGACGGGUGAGUAACACGUUGGUACCUACCCCGAAGUGGGGAAUAACUGCCCGAAAGGGUGGCUAAUACCGCAUAAUACCGCAAGGUUAAAGCAGUAAUGCGCUUCGGGAGGGGCCUGCGUCCCAUUAGCUUGUUGGUAGUGUAAUGGACUACCAAGGCGACGAUGGGUAGCUGGAUCGAGAGGUUGACCAGCCACACUGGGACUGAGAUACGGCCCAGACUCCUACGGGAGGCAGCAGUAAGGAAUCUUCCACAAUGGACGAAAGUCUGAUGGAGCAACGCCGCGUGCAGGAUGACGGCCUCGGUUGUAAACUGCUUUAUAUGGAAGAUUAUGACGGUACCAUAUGAAUAAGGACCGGACUAACUAACGUGCCAGCAGCCGCCGCGGU
rnacentral:rRNA from 1 species